rnacentral:tRNA from 1 species
GGUUCCGUGGUCUAGUUGGUUACGACGUCUGCUUCACAAGCUCUUGCUAAGAUCGCAGAAGGUCCUGGGUUCGAGCCCCAGCGGAGCCA